UGGCGAGCGUGUACGUACGAGCGCGGCCUUUGGUGCACGUGUACGUACGAGCGCGGCCUUUGGUGCACGUGUACGCGAGAGGCGCCCGCAUGUAUACGAGCUCGUAUAUAUACGAUCGCAACCACAUCGGAGCCCAUAAGCGCACCCGCCGCCGAGGAGGGAACACAUUCGGUGACGCGUCUCAUCUACGCGCCAGGACCGGGGUCUCGUGGUCCAGUGAAGGAAGCCCCGUUGCCAGGCGACGGGAGCCAUCUUGGAGGGUUGCAGCCACUAAUGGCCUAAUGAAUUUAAUGGAGGCUCCAGCGCCGAGUAGCACGCUGGAACGGAGCACCGCGCCGGAGAAUUAGAGAGCUCGGCUACGCGUUUCCUCCGUCUAAUUCUCUGGAAACCAAGAGGCGCCCGGGAAGGGUUACCGAGGAAGGGUAGGUCUCCGGGGGAGGCCUCUCGAAGGAACCGAACUGAUGGAGAAGAGGACUCGAGAGCGGCCAACUUCGCCUGCCGAUUCGCUCGGAUUUACACAAUUACGUUAAGAAUGAAUGUCCGUCGUUGCCAGGAAGUCGCCCGGAGGGCCAGGAGGUUUAAGCGGAGGGGUUGAUGUGGCGAGGUCUAGGGCAUGCUGGCUCACCGUGGACCGAUCGUUAGCGUUCUCGAAAUAAUUGAUGUUUAAACGUGGUACCUCUCGAUAUAAGCAAGGUGUAUAUCGCUCUGGAAUAAACAAUAUUUAGUGAA